CCUACGGGUGACAGCAGUGAGGAAUAUUGGUCAAUGGACGCAAGUCUGAACCAGCCAAGCCGCGUGAAGGAAGACGGCUCUAUGAGUUGUAAACUGCUUUUGUCCGGGGGUAAACGCAGAUACGCGUAUCUGUCUGAAAGUAUCGUACGAAUAAGGAUCGGCUAACUCCGUGCCAGCAGCCGCGGUAAUACGGAGGAUUCAAGCGUUAUCCGGAUUUAUUGGGGUUAAAGGGUGCGUAGGCGGUCGGAUAAGUUAGCGGUGAAAUCCCGAGGCUCAACCUCCGAAGUGCCUUUGAUACUGGUGUGCUAGAGAGUAGGUGAGGUAGGCGGAAUGUAUGGUGUAGCGGUGAAAUGCUUAGAGAUCAUACAGAACACCGAUUGCGAAGGCAGCUUACCAAGCCACUUCUGACGUUGAGGCACGAAAGCGUGGGGAGCGAACAGGAUUAGAUACCCUUGUAGUC
rnacentral:rRNA from 1 species